UACGGAGGGUGCAAGCGUUAUCCGGAUUCACUGGGUUUAAAGGGUGCGUAGGUGGCUUUGUAAGUCAGUGGUGAAAUCUCGGAGCUUAACUCCGAAACUGCCAUUGAUACUGCUUAGCUUGAAUCAGGUAGAGGUGGAUGGAAUAUUACAUGUAGCGGUGAAAUGCUUAGAUAUGUAAUAGAACACCGAUUGCGAAGGCAGUUCACUAUGCCUGCAUUGACACUGAGGCACGAAAGCGUGGGGAUCAAAC
rnacentral:rRNA from 1 species